GGAAGCUGUGGUAAGCACUUCCUCUUUCAGCCUGAGGUCUGAGAGAAGAUCAUCAUGGCGGGUCCAAAGAAACACCCAGAUGACUGGGUGCUACGGUCCUUCUCCAGGAAACCACAGAAGAGUCAGCCGCACGUAUUCUCUCCCUUACCGUGGACACAUCUCCUCUUCUUGCUCGUGGGACUAGAAGCCUCUGGAAAGGACUCAUCACCCCCAACAGUGGUGCCAGGGAUUCUAGGGGGUUCGGUGACUUUCUCCCUGAACAUUUCAGUGGACACAGAGAUUGAGCACGUCACCUGGAAUGGUCCCCAAAAUGCUCUUGCUUUAGCAGUCACAGAAACACAAGUUAUCAUUAUGGACAAAAGCUACCAGAACCGACUGAACAUCAGCUGGAACUACUCCUUGUCUAUCAGCAACCUGACUUUGAAAGACGCAGGAUCCUACAAAGCCCAGAUAAACCGCAAGAAUUCUAAAGUCACCAUUGAUGAGGAAUUCAUCCUGCGUAUCUAUGAGCAGGUGCAGGUGCCUCGAGUUGUUGUGAAGUCCGUGAACAUGUCUGAUAGUGCCUCCUGCAACAUUACCUUGAUUUGCUCUGUGGAGAGGGCAGGGACAAGUGUUCUGUACAGCUGGACCCCGAAGAACACCCAUGCUUCUGAAUCCCAUGGGGCCUCCACCAUCACCAUCUACUGGAUGCCAUGUGACCCAGACCUGCCAUACACCUGCACAGCCAGGAACCCAGUCAGCCAGAGCACCUCCGGCCCCAUCCAUGUCCGGCAGUUCUGUACAGCUCCGGGAGCCUCCAGAGGAGGAUCAACGGGGGAGACAGUGGUGGGGAUCCUCGGGGAGUCAGUCACCCUCCCCCUAACACUCUCGGCCAGUCACUACGUGAACAACAUUGUCUGGAUGUUUAACACAUCUAUUAUCACCAAAAAGCAGGAAGUGAAGCCCAAGAUUCCUGACAAGAACUCUGGCCAAGACUACUCCCUGAAGAUUGGCCAGCUAAAGAUGGAGAAUGCUGGCCACUACUAUGCCUAUGUGUGUUCAAAGGCCUCCAGAGUCAUCAGCAGAAAACAUUUCACCCUGCUCAUCUACCGGAGGCUGAAGAAGCCAAAAGUUACCGGGAGCCUUGAGCUCACUGAGGAUGGCAUCUGCAGGGUCAGCCUGACAUGUUCAGUGGAGGACAGUGGACACAAUGUGACAUACUUAUGGACCUUCCUACAGAAAGGAACUGUCAUGUCCCAAGGGGGAUCUCACCUCAAUAUCUCUUGGAGAAGUGAUGAAAAUCAUCCCAACUUCACAUGUACCACCAGGAACCCUGUCAGCAAGAGCUCCCAGUCAUUUCUUCCCGGUGACAUCUGCCCAGGGCACGAGAGAAACAUGAAGCUCUACAUUGGACUCUCCUUGAUGGCUCUUAUUCUUCUGUGCUUUGGGAUCUCCAUCUGGUGGUGCAUGUGGAAGCAAAAAGGACGGCACUCAGUCCCAGACUCCAGCUCCAACCAAGCUGAAACCCCAGCGGAUGCGCCAGGGUAUGAGAAGCUGGACACUCUUCUCAAGACUGCCAAGCAACGGUCUAGGCCCCCCUCUGCCACCAGCUCUGACAGCAGUGGAACAACCGAGGAGACGACAGACAUGGUCAAGGCUGGAAGAUACCAGGAGGACACUGGACCUGACUCGGCUUCUGAGAGGCAAGCAGAGUACGAUCUCGUCAUGCUGAGGAAUGCACCUGCACCUACGGCCCAAGACUACACGGUGUAUGCGCAAGUAUUCCUCAACUUGCAGGUGAGCCCUUUUGACCAGUACACCUUCCCUCCUGCUCCAGUUCUAACACCAUCCAAUAUCCUGGAUGACUUAGUCCCCCCACACGGGGAGCCAGGACCAGCAGCACACGGGCAGACAAGUGUGGCUCUGCUCAUGUUAACCAAACCUUGGGAUCCCUUGGAGUGAAGGAGCUCGUCCUCGGCUCCCAAUCUUGGGCCAUUAAUAAGGGAGAUGUCAAACAACCAGAAGCACUGUACCCACCGCACUAAGACAGCCACCGCCCUCUGUGUGAAAUCUGAACCUGGUGGGUGUCCCCUCUCCUUAGGGGAUGAGAGUGACACCCUGAAAAGCUCUCAUCUGGUGCGUACAGAUAGUCUGAUGUUGAUCUGUUACAGGGAAAGACCCUAGUUCCUCAACAGAAAGAGGGUUCGGCCACAAUCUACAGCUGUAUCCAGACACCUCAGAAGGUGGUGCCACCACCACAGCAGAAUGAUCUGGAGUCUCCUGAAACCCCUACCUAUGAAAAUGUGGACUGAAAAGAAAAG